rnacentral:lncRNA from 1 species
GAAAUUUAAAUAUCAUAAAGAAAUAUUUCAUUGAAAAUAAGAAUUUAAACAAGCUCCAAAAUAAUAAAAUAGUAAGAACUACAAUUGCCCUGAUACAUUGCUAGGGCUUCAUCCAGCCCUAGACUAGACGUUUAGCCGAGCAUGGCUUCCGGACGACCUCCCAUCUUCAAAUGAAAUUGAUCACCGCCCAUUAUUCCCAAACUAUCACAAACUCUUCUCUUUCCUCCCCUCUCUCUUCUUUUUUUAUUUCUUUCUCUCGGCUUUCUUCUUCUUCUUCUUCACCGAAACAGAGCCUCUCCCCUGUUUCUUUCUUCUCAACCGAGCUCUCCCUCUGCCA